rnacentral:rRNA from 1 species
CGUGAGGGAUGACGGCCUUCGGGUUGUAAACCUCUUUUAGUAGGGAAGAAGCGAAAGUGACGGUACCUGCAGAAAAAGCACCGGCUAACUACGUGCCAGCAGCCGCGGUAAUACGUAGGGUGCAAGCGUUGUCCGGAAUUAUUGGGCGUAAAGAGCUCGUAGGCGGUUUGUCGCGUCUGCUGUGAAAUCUGGGGGCUCAACCCCCAGCCUGCAGUGGGUACGGGCAGACUAGAGUGCGGUAGGGGAGAUUGGAAUUCCUGGUGUAGCGGUGGAAUGCGCAGAUAUCAGGAGGAACACCGAUGGCGAAGGCAGAUCUCUGGGCCGUAACUGACGCUGAGGAGCGAAAGCAUGGGGAGCGAACAGGAUUAGAUACCCUGGUAGUCCAUGCCGUAAACGUUGGGAACUAGAUGUGGGGGCCAUUCCACGGUCUCCGUGUCGCAGCUAACGCAUUAAGUUCCCCGCCU